rnacentral:rRNA from 1 species
UACGUAGGAUCCAAGCGUUGUCCGGAUUUACUGGGCGUAAAGCGCACGUAGGCGGCUUUGCAAGUUAGAGGUGAAAGCCCGGGGCUCAACUCCGGAAUUGCCUUUAAGACUGCAUCGCUAGAAUUGUGGAGAGGUAAGUGGAAUUCCGAGUGUAGAGGUGAAAUUCGUAGAUAUUCGGAAGAACACCAGUGGCGAAGGCGACCUACUGGACACAUAUUGACGCUGAGGUGCGAAAGCGUGGGGAGCAAACAGG